UCAGGAACACUCUUAAAACCCGGAAGUCUGUGUUCUACAAAAGCUCCCCGAACAAAGACCUGGUGCUCAAACUCUGGAGGUGACUCCUCUGAGCCCACACCCGUGCUGAGUAAACCUGGCUAUUCCACAUCUCUGAGCACCACUUGUCUUUUUCUGCUGCCACAGUUUCUGAAACAUUUUCUGGUGCAUUGCCAGGAGCCGACAACUGAGCUGGCCCCUUGUGCCACCAUUGUCAGGGAACUGGGGAAGGCCAUGGUCGCCAGCUGAGCGACAGGUGGAUAGUGUGUGCCCGGCCGUUUUGCCAUAUCCUAACUCUCAGUCGGGCUGUGCCAGCCCCAGCUCACGCCGCUUCCCAAACAGACUCAGAAGGAGAGUGGAAACGGGUUCCAGGAUGGGAUGUCAGACUGUAACAGGAAUACACGCCUGGAUCCAUCACUCCAGAGUUAAACCAGCUGGCCCAACUGGGGAAUGGAGAGCUGCCCUUGAUCCGGAGAAACCUCUACUCCCGACCAUACAGAGGAGGAGACAAAGAUCUCAAAGCCCUCCUCUGAUGAAUUAGGGUUGUGGCGAGGAAGGCCCAUCACCGUGGCAACUGUGCUGCGACACCAGGGGACAAGUGCAGAUGGAUCAGCAUUUCCACAGCAGCAAAACAAACACCUUCCAGCUCCUGCCUUGGAGGUGCGUUUCCGGAGCAGCCUGAAGGCCAGGUUUGAGCACGCUCAGGUGCUUACGCCUCUAAGGCAGGUCUGGCUCUCAGGGGCCCUUGAGGGAAUCUGCAGUUGAGUCUAUGAAAGCUGGGGUGGUUCUGUGUGGACCUUUAUUUUUAUUUUCCUUCAUUUUAACUUUUAAAAGUUACAUCCUUUCAAUCCACCGCUCUCAUUUUAGACCCUCCUUUCAGCAGCUUCAGAAUGUCUGGGCUCUGACCUGGCUAAUGCCUUCUGCUACUGUUAUUAGUCGGACAUAAUUUGCCUUUUUGCAUUUGACAACCAUGUAAGUUUAUUUUGAUGCAUUAUUUAUUUUAUUUUUUUUUGUCUUUUGUCUUUGUUGUUGUUGUUGUUGUUGUUGUUAUUGUUGCUAUUUCUUUGGCCGCUCCGGCGGCAUGUGGAGGUUCCCAGGCUAGGGGUUGAAUCGGAGCUGUAGCCACCGGCCUACGCCAGAGCCACAGCAACGCGGGAUCCGAGCCGCGUCUGCAACCUACACCACAGCUCACGGCAACGCCGGAUCGUUAACCCACUGAGCAAGGGCAGGGACCGAACCCGCAACCUCAUGGUUCCUAGUCGGAUUCGUUAACCACUGCGCCACGACGGGAACUCCCAUUAUUUAUUUUUAAUUGCCCUCUGUUUAUCCUAACCUUAAUUAAUGAACAAUACGUGAAUUUGCCAAUGCUUUAUUUUUUUUUUUUAAUGGCCACACCCGCGGCAUAUGGACGUUCCUGGCCAAGGGUCGAAUCUGAGCUACAGGUGUGACCUACGCUACAGCUGUGACAACAUCAGAUCCUUAGCCCACUGCACCAGCCAGUGAUCGAAGCUGUGCCUCCACAGUGACUGAGGUGCUGCAGUCGGAUUCUUAACCCACUGCACCAUAGCAGGAACCCCCCUCACCAGCACUUUUAGAUCUUCCUUGAUUGCUCAUUGAGUUGGAAAGUUCCCAUCCUUAUGAUCUAGCCCAUCGUCUGUGUGGGGUUGGGUAAGCCUGGUAGAGCCUGGCCCAUCCUCCAGCCCUCCAGUGGGUGACAUAGGGCCACAGAGUCUGGCUGGAGCCAGCCCCUAGGCCAGGCGCAGUGGCCACCAUGGCCAGCCCAGGUGGAUUAGAGGGAGGUCUGGGCCUCUCAGCACUUUGAUGUGUCUCUUGAGGUAGAGAAACACCAUGUCCUCGCCUUAUGUGUCCAUUCUGCUUUGCAAAAACAAAAACUCUUUCUCAUGAGCUUGUCUUACAGCAAAGGAGAUUCAGUGCAGGGAGUGCUGUGUGCACUAGUCCUGCAGGAAGCAGGGGUACAAAGCUGGGGCUGCUUUAAACUUGGGGAAGGAGAAACCUCUAGCUCAAGGCCUUGGUCUCAAGGGCCUCCCUCCCGAUGUGGGGUAACCCCUCAGUCUGCCAGACUCUUCCAAAUGCCUGAGGAGAUAUGCCAGGUCCUCCAUGAGGAGUGGGGCCUUGCACUGGGCCGCAGACCCGUGCCUAACCCUCUCCAUGUCCCGGCAACUGAGCAACAGACAACGUGCCUUGUGCUGCAGCACCGACAGUUCCCCACCCCAGAGGCCCACAGAGCACGGCCCACUGGGUCCACUGCCCACACGGUGACAGAGUAGUGCUUGUGCUGACACCACCUGUCCCAGCCGGCCCGGCCUCUUCACCUGCAGGUAACUGAAAAUAUCAUGGCCAACGCCAAGCUCAGGGUUUUCUUCACAGCCUAGAGCUCGGGGGUCCUGCCCGACACUCCAGCAGGUGGCCUUGCUCCUCCUUGGACAGAGGGCAAGGGCCGGCAAUGGCUGCAGUCUGGGGACCGUGGGGGGCAGCCCUUCCCAAGGGCAGGGGCCGGCCCAUCAGACUGUCCCAUGGGGGAAAAGCCUGCAUUUUCCUUUUCUAGUCCCUGUAGGAGAGAAGAGGAGGGAGAAAGGGAGUCAGGAUGACAGUUGCUAAUGUUUGUUUUCAUGAAAACAGUACGUGGACACAAUUAAACAUGCAAAUAGUACUAAGCGCAGGGAACAAGAAAGGCCACUCCCUGCCCCAUACAUCCUGUCACCUGCCAUGCUGCCUCGAGGGGUCAGCCCCCUCCCUCUCCACAUCCAGUCCUUCAGCCGCUGUGUCCUGUGCCUGGGACAGCGCCUGCCACGUGGCGGUUCUCCCACGACCAAGUUGGACCCUGACUGAGGUGGUCAGUGUUUCUAAACCACAGGCUUCUGGGACUGUGGCUCAGUAAGCAGGUCUGACUGGAGCCGCUACCUCUGCUAUGACAGAUGAGGGCUUAGUUCUCGCCGGUGACACCCUGCCUCCCUCCCAACAUGGGCAGAGCAAAAUUUUAGUAAAAUUACUAAUUCUCCCCUUUCUUCCUCAAACAUACACCUUUUCCUUCUCAGCUGCAUCCUGCCCACUGACUUUUAACAGGCUCUAGUCUCUCAUUAAAACCCUUUUUCGGAGUUCCCAUCGUGGCGCAGCGGAAACGAAUCCGACUGGGAACCAUGAGGUUGCAGGAUCGAUCCCUGGCCUCGCUCAGUGGGUUAAGGAUCCGCCAUUGCUGUGAGCUGUGGUGUAGGUCGCAGACGUGGCUCCGAUCCGGCAUUGCUGUGGCUGUGGUAUAGACUGGCAGCUGUAGCUCUGAUUCAACCCCUAGCCUGGGAACCUCUAUAUGCCGCAGGUGCAGCCACAAAAAGACAAAAGAAAAAAACAAAACAAAACAAACAAACAAACAAAAAAAAACGAAAAAAAAAAACCCUUUCCCCUGACUGCAGUUCUUCCUCCUGUCGUGCCCUCUCAUUAUCCUCCCUCCCAGGCAAAUGCUUCAGAAAUGCUUGUCUCCAGGCUCACUGGCUGCUCACUCCCUCCAAGCUGGCUGUACCUGGUUACUCCACACACAGUGCUCAUCGAGGUCGUCAUUCCUGCUGCAUACGCUCCCCUGCCCCUACCUGUCCACGGCCCUCAGCGCUGUGCUGCACCUGCUUAGCUGCAUGUUGCAGGUGCCUGGCCUCCCUUGCCAAGGGAAGCCCCAAUGCGAGAUGAGGAUGGAGGGAGCUAGAGCCAUUCUCUGGUCAGGCAGCAUCUCCUGGGCAGCUGUACCCAUCCUCGUUGCUGCGUGGGCCUCUCCUGUGUUCUCCUUCUGUGUGACUCCAACCUCAGAGGAGAAAGGGCAAGGGUUUCUACAGCCAGGCAUGUGACUGACAUGGGAGCCAUAGCAGGGCUGCCACAGAGAGGUCAGGACGGGAGGAAAAGUAGCUUGGGGUGAUCCAUCUUGGGGUGGCGUUGACUUCCUUUCUGCUGCUGACCCCUGAGGGCCUCGCCACACCCUGUUUGCACUCUUGGCUCUGCUGACGUCUCUGUGACAGCAUCUCCACAGUUGGCUCCUGCCCCUGAACCCGCACGGGUGCUCGCCUAACUGGACAGGACCAGGUAGUCCGCUGCGCCCUCCAGGUCCACGCCCCUCCUCCUCCGCUGCUCUGGCUCAGACCUGGAAAGAUGGGGUGCACGGGCCCCUUGCCUCUGACUUAGAGUCCUGGAGGAGGUGGAGGAGGGUGGCAGGCAUCUAGUCCCCAGCCCCAGUGUGGCCACAGUGCCCUUACCCAGGUCACAGCCCCUUGCACAAAGGGCUCUGCACCUGCCCUUCUCUGGUCGUGCUAAGUGGUCCCCCCAGGGCCCGGCUCUGAGCCCCCACUUUCCAGGCUCAGUGCCUCAUGUCCUCAGACACUGAUGGCUGCUCCCCGAUGCCUGGCCCAGGACCAGUGGGGGCUAGGACAGUUCUCAACAAGGAUGAUUGUUCCUUUAUGAUUUUUAAUGCUAAAUGACCUUUUUAAUGAAGUUAUAAUGACAGCCAGAGGAAAUUGAUUUUUUAAAAAAUAAUUGUGACAAAAUAAAAAAUUCACCAUCGUAACCACUUUUAAGUGUCCAGUUAUGUGGCAUUGGACACUUUCACACUGCUGUGCCAGCAUCCCCACCAGCAUCUCCAGAACUUUCUCAUCUUCCCAAACCAGAACAGAGCCCCAUCACUCACUCACUCCCCCCAGCCCUCCCCCAGCCCCCCCAUUCUGCUGUGUCUAUGGAUCUCGUGGCUCUGGGGACCUCUUAGAAGUGAUUGGCUGGUUUCACUGCCCACAUUGGCUUCAAGUUUCUUCUGUGUUGUGACAUAUCAGAAGUUCCCUCCUUUUUAAAUGCUGAAUAACAUUCCAGGAAAUUGACUUUUUUUUUUUUUCAGAUGUUCUUUACAAAAUAAAAAGUUAGCCAUCCUGUGCCAGUUGCCCAAAUGCUUCUGAAAUGGCCCUAGCCUAGGAAAUCACAGGUCCAACCACCGCUGGGCCUCAGGGGGACAUGAGGCCUACCCUUAUGCCCCACAUCCCACCCUCCACUCCAUCCCCCAGCCCCACCUCCACCCCCCCCACCUUCCCACCCCCACCCCACUCCCACCUCUGCGACAGCCCCUUGACUCCUCUCAGCCCCACCUGUCCCCUCUCCAUACACCCCUGGCUUCAUUCUUAGUCUUCUCUCCCUCUGGAAUCUUUCUUGUUUUUCCCAAUUAAACUCAUCCCAGUCCUGCCAGGCCUGAUCCUCCCAAGGAGGGCAGAUGCACCCCAGGUCCUCUCCCCUAAUGUCCCAGGCACUGGGGAUCCAGCCCAAAACCAUCCCAAGGUUUGCUUUAACAUGGGCGUCAGCAGGCCCUUGUGCAAAGCCUUCUUAGGAGAACAGCCAUGAACCUUGUGACCAUCAGCCCAGCUCUGCAGAAACACUUUUGUUUGCAUUUCCAUGUCCUUGGAUGGAUCCUGGUUCAGAGCCUGGAACUGUAUAAAGGCUGACUCGUGCUUUACCUCUGUCUGUGUGGGGGUCUGAAUACCUGUGUCCCCCAGAUUUUUAUGUUGAAUCCAACCCCCAAAAAUGGUGGUAUCAGGAGGUGAGGGCUUUGGGAGGUUAUCAGGUCAUGAAGGUGGAGCCCCCAUGAAGGGGAUUAGUGUCCUUACAAAGGGAUCCCUCGCUGCACCUGCCACGUGAGGACACGGUGAGAAGACUGGGACCUGGCAGAGCCUCCCUCAACCACAGUGGCACCCAGGCCUCCAGACUCCAGGACUAUGAGAGGUAACGUCACUUGUGAUAAGCCACCCAGUCUGUGGUGCGUGUCACCAGCUCGAACUAAGACACUAUAUAAAAUCACACUUGCCCAUUUCAAGUGGAAUUUCAAGGAAACCCAUCCUGAACUCUCCGUUCCCACUGGGAGCCGGACAUCAGGUGACACCAAGAGUAAUUCACAAGGUGGGGAGCACCUGAGCAGAGAACUCAGGCAAAGGGAGCACUGGCCCGAGCUGGAAAGGCAGUUCUGGUCACACCACUGCUCUUUGACUUCCUGGAGGCCACAGGCCCGGCCAGGUUAAUGUUUCCUUUGCAGCAUCCACCCAGCACCCAGCUGCUAAGACCCCGAGGUCAGCUGAGUCAUCCUUACACAACGGGAAGAGAUUCCAGCUGGCCACCCAUGCAUGUGGCUUGAGCAGACACACCCCCAAGCUGCCCCUGGGUUGCCCCUCACCCACACCAUCCUCCCAGCCACCAAGGGGCUCACAGGAAGCCUGGCUGAGGCUCUCUUGCUGGGUGCACCCUCCAUCCACACUCACUCACAGGGCCACUUCUGAGGCAGGUCCGCCUUGGGGGCUCUGACAGCUGACACCUCAGCCUCAGCAGUCUCGUCAUUGUGGAAUGAGACAGACAAGCAUAUGGAAAAUUAUAUCCAGGUGUGAUCUGUGCUAUGCGUGUGGGAUCUCACAAGGGAGGAGAGCCAGACUGCAGGAGCCCAUCGCGAGUCUAAGCCAGGCUGGGGCACACGGGGUGAAGCGGACCGAGCUGACAGAGGUGGGCGCAGUGAGGCGCAUUCAGAGCGUCAUGUGGUUCUAGGAGAUGGGAGAGCUGGCUUCUGCCACCCUCUGACCUCAGGCCCCAUUUCUCCAUCUGGUCUUGAAGUCACACACCGUCACCUCCACCAUGCUGCACGUGUGAGAAGCAAGCCAUGGAGUCUAGCUCAUACCCAAGGACUCAAGGAGCCCUCCUCUCCUGAAGGGGGUGUGUCCUUAAAGAUCUUUAAACCACCGCAGUCCACAAGACCCCCCAAAUUACUCCCAUCCUCUCCCAUGCAGUACAUGCGCACUCGAAAAUCCCACCCGCUGUAGCUCAGGGUCCAGAGUCUUGUGUCUGAGCCUGAUGUGGGGGAGGGUGCUUGAGGAUAUGCACUCUCAAUGUGAUGACCUGUGAAUUUGAGGGGCGAGUUGUACCCCCGCCCCCUGCCAACUGCCCACACGCAACAGUGGAACAGACACAGCAUGACCACUGCAGAUCUUCAAAGGGGACAGGGCGGAGGGCACACGGGUGUCACUCAGCCACACCAUCCUGAAAUCCGCUGGGAAGCUCCUUAGUUAGAACUCAGUCUGAUUCUGGUCUGAAAGUGACUCCAUGCCCUUGGUUCCACCUUGAACUUCAUUCUCCUCUGUCAUCCUUUUGUUUCCAUGACAUACCCCCAUGUGUGCACCUGUGGUUUCCGAGGCUGCUUCUUGUCAGAAGAAUAUGGGGGGCAGUUCCAGAGGUCUCUUCAUUUUGCACUAUCUCUGAUCCUUUCAGUCCAAGCUUUUGCCAUAUAAUAACUCUUUGAAAAACUCUGUGUUUCUUCUCUGACUCUUACUGAGUUUCAGUCCUUUCAACAACCGGUAAGGAUUUUCCGUUGUGGCGCCGUGGAAACGAAUCUGACUAGGAACCAUGAGGUUGUGGGUUCGAUCCCUGGCCUCGCUCAGUGGGCUAAGGAUCUGGCGUUGCCGUG